UGCCAGCAGCCGCGGUAAUACGUAGGGACCAAGCGUUAUCCGGAAUUACUGGGCGUAAAGGGUGCGCAGGCGGGCAUGCAAGUCCGACGUGAAAGCCCCGAGCUUAACUCGGGAAGUGCGCCGGAUACUGCAUGUCUUGAGGACCAGAGAGGCAGAGAGAAUUCCUGGUGUAGCGGUGAAAUGCGUAGAUAUCAGGAGGAAUACCUGUGGCGAAAGCGCUCUGCUGGAUGGUUCCUGACGCUGAGGCACGAAAGCGUGGGUAGCAAACGGGAUUAGAUACCCGGGUAUCC
rnacentral:rRNA from 1 species